rnacentral:rRNA from 1 species
CCUACGGGAGGCAGCAGUGAGGAAUAUUGCGCAAUGGGGGAAACCCUGACGCAGCAACGCCGCGUGGGUGAAGAAGGCCUUCGGGUCGUAAAGCCCUUUCGGACGGGACGAACGCUCCGCGGUGACAACCCGCGGAGCCUGACGGUACCGUAAGAAGAAGCACCGGCUAACUCCGUGCCAGCAGCCGCGGUAAUACGGAGGGUGCAAGCGUUGUUCGGAAUUACUGGGCGUAAAGCGCGUGUAGGCGGCCUUGCAAGCCGGACGUGAAAGCCCUCGGCUUAACCGGGGAAGUGCGUCUGGAACUGCUCGGCUCGAGUACGGGAGAGGGAGGCGGAAUUCCCAGUGUAGAGGUGAAAUUCGUAGAUAUUGGGAGGAACACCGGUGGCGAAAGCGGCCUCCUGGACCGAUACUGACGCUGAGACGCGAAAGCGUGGGGAGCAAACAGGAUUAGAUACCCUGGUAGUCCACGCUGUAAACGAUGGGCACUAGGUGUGGGGGGUAUCCACUCCUCCCGUGCCGCAGCUAACGCAUUAAGUGCCCCGCCUGGGGAGUACGGCCGCAAGGUUAAAACUCAAAGGAAUUGACGG